rnacentral:rRNA from 1 species
GCCCUACGGGACGCAGCAGUAGGGAAUCUUUCACAAUGGGCGAAAGCCUGAUGGAGCAACGCCGCGUGCAGGAUGAAGGCCUUCGGGUUGUAAACUGCUUUUAUAAGCGAGAAAUAUGAUGGUAACUUAUGAAUAAGGAUCGCCUGACUACGUGCCAGCAGCCGCGGUAAUACGUAGGGAGCAAGCGUUAUCCGGAUUUAUUGGGUGUAAAGGGUGCGUAGGCGGGAAAUUAAGUUAGUUGUGAAAUCCCUCGGCUUAACUGAGGAACUGCAACUAAAACUGAUUUUCUUGAGUGUUGGAGAGGA